UACGUAGGUGGCAAGCGUUGUCCGGAAUUAUUGGGCGUAAAGCGCGCGCAGGUGGUUCCUUAAGUCUGAUGUGAAAUCUCCAGGCUCAACCUGGAGGGGUCAUUCGAUACUGCCAUGACUAGAGGUCGGUAGGGGAGUGUGGAAUUCCUGGUGGAGCGGUGAAAUGCGCAGAUAUCAGGAGGAACACCCGUAGCGAAGGCGGCACUCUGGGCCGAUUCUGACACUGAGGAGCGAAAGCGUGGGGAGCGAACAGG
rnacentral:rRNA from 1 species